rnacentral:tRNA from 1 species
UUUUUCUUAGCUUAAAUUAAGAGCGUUAGUUUGAAGCACUAGAAGUAACUUUAUGUUAGAGAAGC